GACGAACGCUGGCGGCGUGCUUAACACAUGCAAGUCGAACGGAAAGGCCCUGCUUUUGUGGGGUGCUCGAGUGGCGAACGGGUGAGUAACACGUGAGUAACCUGCCCUUGACUUUGGGAUAACUUCAGGAAACUGGGGCUAAUACCGGAUAGGAGCUCCUGCUGCAUGGUGGGGGUUGGAAAGUUUCGGCGGUUGGGUAUGGACUCGCGGCUUAUCAGCUUGUUGGUGGGGUAGUGGCUUACCAAGGCUUUGACGGGUAGCCGGCCUGAGAGGGUGACCGGCCACAUUGGGACUGGGAUGCGGCCCAGACUCCAACGGGAGGCAGCGGUGGGGAAUAUUGCACAAUGGGCGGAAGCCUGAUGCAGCAAAGCAGCGUGGGGGAUGACGGCCUUCGGGUUGUAAACCGCUUUCGCCUGUGACGAAGCGUGAGUGACGGUAAUGGGUAAAGAAGCACCGGCUAACUACGUG
rnacentral:rRNA from 1 species